rnacentral:rRNA from 1 species
UUAAGUGAAUAAGGGCGCACGGAGGAUGCCUUGGCACUAGGAGUCGAAGAAGGACGCGACAAACGGCGAAACGCCUCGGGGAGCUGUAAGUGAGCAUUGAUCCGGGGGUAUCCGAAUGGGGAAACCCGCUAGUGGUUAUACGCUAGCACCAUAUGGUGAAUACAUAGCCAUAUAGGAGACAGACCCAGGGAACUGAAACAUCUAAGUACCUGGAGGAAAAGAAAGAAAAAUCGAUUCCCGUAGUAGCGGCGAGCGAAGUGGGAAGAGCCCAAACCGGAUUUAUCCGGGGUUGUAGGACCUUCAUAAUUGACAAAUCAUGAUAGCCGAAUGGUCUGGGAAGGCCAACCGUAGGGGGUGAGAGUCCCGUAGGUGAAAUUGUGAGAUGCAUGGAAGGAAUCCUGAGUACGGCGGGACACGUGGAAUCCCGUCGGAAUCAACGAGGACCAUCUCGUAAGGCUAAAUACUACCUAGUGACCGAUAGUGAACCAGUACCGUGAGGGAAAGGUGAAAAGAACCCCGGAAGGGGAGUGAAAGAGAACCUGAAACCGUGUGCCUACAAAUAGUCAGAGCCCGUUAAUGGGUGAUGGCGUGCCUUUUGUAGAAUGAACCGGCGAGUUACGAUAUCGUGCGAGGUUAAGCAGAAGAUGCGGAGCCGUAGCGAAAGCGAGUCUGAAUAGGGCGAAGAGUACGAUGUUGUAGACCCGAAACCGUGUGAGCUAGCCAUGAGCAGGCUGAAGGUCAGGUAACACUGACUGGAGGGCCGAACCAGGGCACGUUGAAAAGUGCUUGGAUGACUUGUGGCUAGCGGUGAAAUUCCAAUCGAACUCGGAUAUAGCUGGUUCUCUCCGAAAUAGCUUUAGGGCUAGCCUCGAUGUUAAGUCUACUGGAGGUAGAGCACUGAAUGGGUGAUGGCCCCACCUCGGGGUACUGAUCUCAAUCAAACUCCGAAUGCCAGAUAGAUAUAAUCGGGAGUCAGACUGUGGGUGAUAAGGUCCAUGGUCAAAAGGGAAAGAGCCCAGACCGCCAGCUAAGGCCCCCAAGUGUCCGUUAAGUGGAAAAGGAUGUGGAGAUGCACAGACAACUAGGAGGUUGGCUUAGAAGCAGCCAUCCUUUAAAGAGUGCGUAAUAGCUCACUAGUCGAGUGACUCUGCGCCGAAAAUGUACCGGGGCUAAACGGACCGCCGAAGCUGCGGAUUGACUUUAGAGUCAGUGGUAGGAGAGCGUUCUAACAGCGGUGAAGCAGUACCGGAAGGAGCUGUGGAGCGGUUAGAAGUGAGAAUGCCGGUGUGAGUAGCGAAAGAUAGGUGAGAAUCCUAUCCAUCGAAAGCCUAAGGUUUCCAGGGGAAGGCUCGUCCGCCCUGGGUAAGUCGGGACCUAAGGUGAGGCCGAAAGGCGUAGCCGAUGGACAACAGGUUGAUAUUCCUGUACCACUUAUUAAACUGAUGGAGUGACGGAGAAGGCUAAGUUGAGCGUGUGAUUGGAUUCACGUGUAAGCAGUGAGGUGGUCAUGUAGGCAAAUCCGCAUGGCAUAACAUUGAGCUGUGAUGCCGAAGCCGAAUGGCGAAGUCAACUGACGUCACGCUUCCAAGAAAAGCUUCUAGGGUUAAUUUAAUAAGUGCCCGUACCGAUAACCGACACAGGUAGGCGAGGAGAGAAUCCUAAGAUGAGCGAGAGAACUCUUGUUAAGGAACUCGGCAAAAUGACCCCGUAACUUCGGGAGAAGGGGUGCUUGUGAAAGCAAGCCGCAGUGAAUAGGCCCAGGCGACUGUUUAUCAAAAACACAGGUCUCUGCUAAACCGCAAGGUGAUGUAUAGGGGCUGACGCCUGCCCGGUGCUGGAAGGUUAAGAGGAGAGGUUAGCGCAAGCGAAGCUUUGAAUUGAAGCCCCAGUAAACGGCGGCCGUAACUAUAACGGUCCUAAGGUAGCGAAAUUCCUUGUCGGGUAAGUUC